UACGAAGGGGGCUGGCGUUGCUCGGAAUCACUGGGCGUAAAGGGUGCGUAGGCGGGUCUUUUAAGUCAGGGGUGAAAUCCUGGAGCUCAACUCCAGAACUGCCUUUGAUACUGAGGAUCUUGAGUUCGGGAGAGGUGAGUGGAACUGCGAGUGUAGAGGUGAAAUUCGUAGAUAUUCGCAAGAACACCAGUGGCGAAGGCGGCUCACUGGCCCGAUACUGACGCUGAGGCACGAAAGCGUGGGGAGCAAACAGG
rnacentral:rRNA from 1 species